rnacentral:RNase_P_RNA from 1 species
UGAUUCGGGCUGACUGUCGCGGGUCGGGAAAGCCGGCACGAGGAAAGUCGGGACAGCAUAGAGCACCAUACUUCCUAACGGGAAGGUAUCCGUAAGGGUAACAGCCAGUGCCACAGAAAAUUACCGCCUUGAUGAUCCUGAGAGCUCAAGGUAAGGGUGAAAACGUGAGGUAAGAGCUCACGCGGCGCGGUGGUGACAUUCCGCCGGGGUAAACCUUAUGGGCUGCAAGUCCAAGUAUAGAGACACCGGAGUCCUUGACUCCAAAUGGGUUGCUCGCCCAUCGUCUCAGGGUAGGGCGCUUGAGCUUGCGGGUGACCGUAAGCCUAGAGAAAUGACAGUCGCCCCGCAAGGGGUACAGAAUCCCGCUUAUACGCCCGAAUUGCCAU